UACAGAGGGGGCAAGCGUUGUUCGGAAUUACUGGGCGUAAAGGGCGCGUAGGCGGCCAACUAAGUCAGACGUGAAAUCCCCUGGCUCAACCAGGGAACUGCGUCUGAUACUGGAUGGCUUGAAUCCGGGAGAGGGAUGUAGAAUUCCAGGUGUAGCGGUGAAAUGCGUAGAUAUCUGGAGGAAUACCGGUGGCGAAGGCGGCAUCCUGGACCAUAACUGACGCUGAGGCGCGAAAGCCAGGGGAGCAAACGGG
rnacentral:rRNA from 1 species